AUUUUAUUAAUAAAGUAUAUUUUUACAAAAAAAAGUUUAACUGAGGUGUAAUUAUUGCUUAUUGAAAACUUUUCCCAAUACCCCGCUGUGGUGACUUGCAACAAAGUCAGUAUUAGCAAUCUUUGGUAGUCUCUUUGGAGA